rnacentral:lncRNA from 1 species
UAUUAAAGAAAUACUAAAAAUAUGAGGCCUUAUUAAAAUAUGAGGCCUUAGGCAACUGCCUUGUUCGCCUAUACCUAUAGCCACCCCUGCCUGUCAUAUCAAUCAAUAAAUAAAGCUACAAUCAAAACUUGCUUGCUAGCUAAGUGGCUGAACUUAAAUUGUUACAAUGGAGCUAGGACUUGUGAAUUCAAGAUAGAGAGUAAUGAUAUAGUGGGCAAUGAUGCUCAUUUGAUGGUAAGCGACAUGUCAUGUGGUGCUGUCUAACUAAUUUAUAGUUUUAAUAUUAUUCACAGGUAGUCAUAGAAUUCUACCACAUAUUCAUAUGUUUGUUCACCAUGAGCAUUAAUAUUCACUAGAUCAUCUUAUUCAAACACAAGAUCCCUCAAGUCAAA